UUGCACUCAAUUGGAAAGAGGAGUGGCGGACGGGUGAGUAACACGUGGGUAACCUACCCAUCAGAGGGGGAUAACACUUGGAAACAGGUGCUAAUACCGCAUAACAGUUUAUGCCGCAUGGCAUAAGAGUGAAAGGCGCUUUCGGGUGUCGCUGAUGGAUGGACCCGCGGUGCAUUAGCUAGUUGGUGAGGUAACGGCUCACCAAGGCCACGAUGCAUAGCCGACCUGAGAGGGUGAUCGGCCACACUGGGACUGAGACACGGCCCAGACUCCUACGGGAGGCAGCAGUAGGGAAUCUUCGGCAAUGGACGAAAGUCUGACCGAGCAACGCCGCGUGAGUGAAGAAGGUUUUCGGAUCGUAAAACUCUGUUGUUAGAGAAGAACAAGGACGUUAGUAACUGAACGUCCCCUGACGGUAUCUAACCAGAAAGCCACGGCUAACUACGUGCCAGCAGCCGCGGUAAUACGUAGGUGGCAAGCGUUGUCCGGAUUUAUUGGGCGCAAAGCGAGCGCAGGCGGUUUCUUAAGUCUGAUGUGAAAGCCCCCGGCUCAACCGGGGAGGGUCAUUGGAAACUGGGAGACUUGAGUGCAGAAGAGGAGAGUGGAAUUCCAUGUGUAGCGGUGAAAUGCGUAGAUAUAUGGAGGAACACCAGUGGCGAAGGCGGCUCUCUGGUCUGUAACUGGCGCUGAGGCUCGAAAGCGUGGGGAGCAAACAGGAUUAGAUACCUGGUAGUCCACGCCGUAAACGAUGAGUGCUAAGUGUUGGAGGGUUUCCGCCCUUCAGUGCUGCAGCAAACGCAUUAAGCACU
rnacentral:rRNA from 1 species